GUCUACGGCCAUACCACCCUGAACGCGCCCGAUCUCGUCUGAUCUCGGAAGCUAAGCAGGGUUGGGUCUGGUUAGUACUUGGAUGGGAGAAACCAUUACGUUUUCAUUU
rnacentral:rRNA from 1 species